UACGGAGGGUGCAAGCAUUAAUCGGAAUUACUGGGCGUAAAGGGCGCGUAGGCGGCUUAUCAAGUCACAUGUGAAAUUCCAGGGCUUAACCCUGGAGCAGCAUGUGAAACUGAUAGACUAGAGGUAAAGCGGAGAAAACGGAAUUUCCCAUGUAGCGGUGAAAUGCGUGGAUAUGGGAAGGAACACCGGUGGCGAAAGCGGUUUUCUAGCUUUAAACUGACGCUGAAGCGCGAAAGCAAGGGGAGCAAAC
rnacentral:rRNA from 1 species